UACGGGGGGGGCAAGCGUUGUUCGGAAUUACUGGGCGUAAAGGGCUCGUAGGCGGCCAACUAAGUCGGACGUGAAAUCCCCAGGCUCAACCUGGGAACUGCGUCCGAUACUGGAUGGCUUGAAUCCGGGAGAGGGAUGCAGAAUUCCAGGUGUAGCGGUGAAAUGCGUAGAUAUCUGGAGGAAUACCGGUGGCGAAGGCGGCAUCCUGGACCGGCAUUGACGCUGAGGAGCGAAAGCCAGGGAAGCAAACGGG
rnacentral:rRNA from 1 species